GAUGAACGCUGACAGAAUGCUUAACACAUGCAAGUCGAUGGGGAAGUGGUGCUUGCACCAUGGCAACCAUGGCGGACGGGUGAGUAACGCGUAAGGGACUUACCUGCAGGACUGGGAUAACAGGGGGAAACUCCUGACAAGACCGGAUAAUGUCACGGAGCUGCAUGGCUUUAUGAUGAAAGGAGACGCCUGCGGAGAGCCUUGCGUCCUAUUAGCUAGUUGGUGAGGUAAUGGCUCACCAAGGCGAAGAUAGGUAGCCGGCCUGAGAGGGUGGACGGCCACAAGGGGACUGAGAUACGGCCCUUACUCCUACGGGAGGCAGCAGUGGGGAAUAUUGGACAAUGGGGGCAACCCUGAUCCAGCAAUUCUGUGUGCACGAAGAAGGUUUUCGGAUUGUAAAGUGCUUUCAGCAGGGAAGAAGUAAGUGACGGUACCUGCAGAAGAAGCGACGGCUAAAUACGUG
rnacentral:rRNA from 1 species